GAUGAACGCUGGCGGCGUGCCUAAUACAUGCAAGUCGAGCGAACGGACGAGGAGCUUGCUCCUCUGACGUUAGCGGCGGACGGGUGAGUAACACGUGGAUAACCUACCUAUAAGACUGGGAUAACUUCGGGAAACCGGAGCUAAUACCGGAUAAUAUAUUGAACCGCAUGGUUCAAUAGUGAAAGACGGUUUUGCUGUCACUUAUAGAUGGAUCCGCGCCGCAUUAGCUAGUUGGUAAGGUAACGGCUUACCAAGGCAACGAUGCGUAGCCGACCUGAGAGGGUGAUCGGCCACACUGGAACUGAGACACGGUCCAGACUCCUACGGGAGGCAGCAGUAGGGAAUCGUCCGCAAUGGGCGAAAGCCUGACGGAGCAACGCCGCGUGAGUGAUGAAGGUCUUCGGAUCGUAAAACUCUGUUAUUAGGGAAGAACAAAUGUGUAAGUAACUAUGCACGUCUUGACGGUACCUAAUCAGAAAGCCACGGCUAACUACGUG
rnacentral:rRNA from 1 species